rnacentral:rRNA from 1 species
GUGUCAGCAGCCGCGGUAAUACGUAGGGGGCAAGCGUUGUCCGGAUUUAUUGGGCGUAAAGAGCGUGUAGGCGGUUUGGUAGGUCCGCUGUGAAAACUCGAGGCUCAACCUCGAGACGCCGGUGGAAACCAUCAGGCUAGAGUCCGGAAGAGGAGAGUGGAAUUCCUGGUGUAGCGGUGAAAUGCGCAGAUAUCAGGAAGAACACCCGUGGCUAAGGCGGCUCUCUAGUACGGUACUGACGCUGAGACGCGAAAGCGUGGGGAGCGAACAGGAUUAGAUACCCUGGUAGUCC